CCUACGGGAGGCAGCAGUGAGGAAUAUUGGUCAAUGGACGAGAGUCUGAACCAGCCAAGUAGCGUGAAGGAUGACUGCCCUAUGGGUUGUAAACCUCUUUUAUAUGGGAAUAAAAUGUUCCACGUGUGGGCUUUUGUAUGUACCAUAUGAAUAAGGAUCGGCUAACUCCGUGCCAGCAGCCGCGGUAAUACGGAGGAUCCGAGCGUUAUCCGGAUUUAUUGGGUUUAAAGGGAGCGUAGGUGGAUUGUUAAGUCAGGUGUGAAAGUCUGCGGCUCAACCGUAAGAUGGCAGUUGAAACUGGCAGGCUGGAGUUGAGUAGAGGUGGGCGGAAUUCGUGGUGUAGCGGUGAAAUGCUUAGAUAUCGCGAAGAACUCCGAUUGCGAAGGCAGCUCACUGGACUGCAACUGACGCUGAGGCUCGAAAGUGUGGGUAUCAAACAGGAUUAGAUACCCCUGUAGUC
rnacentral:rRNA from 1 species